UACAGAGGUCCCAAGCGUUGUUCGGAUUCACUGGGCGUAAAGGGUGCGUAGGCGGCAAGGUAAGUCUGACGUGAAAUCUCCAAGCUCAACUUGGAAACUGCGUUGGAUACUAUCUUGCUCGAGGAAUGGAGGGGAGACUGGAAUACUUGGUGUAGCAGUGAAAUGCGUAGAUAUCAAGUGGAACACCAGUGGCGAAGGCGAGUCUCUGGACAUUUCCUGACGCUGAGGCACGAAAGCUAGGGGAG
rnacentral:rRNA from 1 species